rnacentral:tRNA from 1 species
GCCUUCCUAGUGUAGUGGUCAGCACGCUAGACGCAUAUUCGAGAGGUCCGUGGUUCGAAUCCCGGCGAAGGCG